rnacentral:rRNA from 1 species
CUGCGGAGGGUCAUUACCGAGUUAGGGUCUCACCGGCCCGAUCUCCCAACCCUUUGUCUACUUGACCAUCGUUGCUUCGGCGAGCCCGUCCUCACGGACCGCCGGGGGGUCUUUGUACCCCUUGGCCCGCGCUCGUCGAUAGCCCCCAAAUUUAAAAAAUCUUAACUAAACGUGUCUUGAAUCUAAGUAUUAUUGUUAAAUAAAAACAAAACUUUCAACAACGGAUCUCUUGGUUCUGGCAUCGAUGAAGAACGCAGCGAAAUGCGAUAAGUAAUGCGAAUUGCAGAAUUCCAGUGAGUCAUCGAAUCUUUGAACGCACAUUGCGCCCUUUGGUAUUCCGAAGGGCAUGCCUGUUCGAGCGUCAUUAUCACCCCUCAAGCCCUCGGCUUGGUGUUGGACGGUUUGGUGGAGACCCCCCUCGGGUGGGCUUCUACCCCUCCCAAAGACAAUGACGGCGGCCUCGUUGGACCCCCGGUACACUGAGUUCUUCACGGGACACGUAUCGGACACAUGGGUUUACGGGACACGGUCUGCCUCCCCUCAGGGAGAAUCUUUUUUUUAUCAAGGUUGACCUCGGAUCAGGUAGGGAUACCCGCUGAACUUAAGCAUAUCAAUAAGCGGAGGAAAAGAAACCAACAGGGAUUGCCUCAGUAACGGCGAGUGAAGCGGCAACAGCUCAAAUUUGAAAUCUGGCCUCUUUGGGGUCCGAGUUGUAAUUUGUAGAGGAUGUUUCGGGUACCGCCUCGGUUU